rnacentral:rRNA from 1 species
CACCGCGGUUAUACGAGAGACCCAAGUUGUUAGUUACCGGCGUAAAGCGUGGUUAAAAAUAUACUUCACUAAAGCCGAAAACUUUCAAAGCUGUUAUACGCAUCCGAAAGUAAAAAGACCAAUAACGAAAGUAGCUUUACUUAUUUGAACCCACGAAAGCUACGGCA